AUAACAUCCGGAAACGGGUGCUAAUACCGCAUAGUUUCUUGAUUGCAUGAUCGGGAAAGGAAAGACGGCCUUUGUGCUGUCGCUUAUGGAUGGACCCGCGGCGUAUUAGUUAGUUGGUGAGGUAACGGCUCACCAAGACGAUGAUACGUAGCCGACCUGAGAGGUGAUCGGCCACAUUGGGACUGAGACACGGCCCAAACUCCUACGGGGGGCAGCAGUAGGGAAUCUUCCGCAAUGGACGAAAGUCUGACGGAGCAACGCCGCGUGAGUGAAGAAAGGUUUUCGGAUCGUAAAACUCUGUUGUCAGAGAAGAACAAGUUGGAGAGUAACUGCUCCAGCCUUGACGGUAUCUGACCAGAAAGCCACGGCUAACUACGUGCCAGCAGCCGC
rnacentral:rRNA from 1 species